rnacentral:misc_RNA from 1 species
AAGUCGUAACAAGGUUUCCGUAGGUGAACCUGCGGAAGGAUCAUUAACACGUAUCCACGUUUUAUCAACAAUACAAAGAACUGUGCUCCCUGUUAGUUGACCUCGGUGCUGUUCAGUAAGGUUUUAGUGGGUCCGCAAGGACAUACUGAGCUGAACUAUCAAUCCUUUGAGAUUGUGGCGUCGCAACUAGCUAGCAGGCUUACUAACUCUCACUGCCCGUAGUGCAAACUGUUUCCAACCACUUUGGGCGGCAGUGAGGACCCCAUACCAAUUUCACCCUGUUUUGCCCAUUUGACUAAUAUUAUAUUCUUGGAGAGAAAUCUUCUUGAAUUCUAAGAUUUAUCUUAACUAAGCACAACUCUUAGCAAUGGAUAUCUUGGUUCUC